CAGCCGCCGCGGGAAUACGUAGGUGGCGAGCGUUGUCCGGAAUGAUUGGGCGCAAAGGGAGCGCAGGUGGGACGGUAAGUCCUUCUUAAAAGCGUGAGGCUCAGCCCCAUGAAGGGAAGGAAACUAUCGAUCUUGAGUGCCGGAGAGGAAAGCGGAAUUCCCAGUGUAGCGGUGAAAUGCGUAGAUAUUGGGAAGAACACCAGUGGCGAAGGCGGCUUUCUGGACGGCAACUGGCACUGAGGCUCGAAAGCCAGGGGAGCGAACGGGAUUAGAUACCCGCGUAGUCCCUGUCUCUUAUACC
rnacentral:rRNA from 1 species